CUAUGAUGCUCGUGCACUGAGGGUAGUUGUAGGAGACAAGAAUGGAACUUUAAAUGGACCAGCAAUUCAGUGUUGUUACAGUCUUCUUGACAUACUGCAUAGGCUGUGGACCCCCAUUGAUGGUGAAUUUGAUGAUUACAUUGUUAACCCAAAACCCAGUGGAUAUCAGUCUCUGCACACAGCAGUAAAAGGUCCCGAUUGUGCACCUUUGGAAGUUCAGAUAAGAACACAGAAAAUGCACGAGUAUG
rnacentral:misc_RNA from 1 species